AAAAUGGUUCUCUGCUGCGGCAGAGCUAAGAUGGGAAUGCAGUGAAAGUCUGCAACUAUGCCCGUAGCUGUAAAUCUUUAAGUAGCAGCCACAAACAAGUCACUGGAGUAAUUCAAGUCAUACGAAUUACAAAAAAAUCCGGGAAGACAGUGGUGCAAUGGAGAUGAGUCAGAAGACCUGCCAUUUGAGUAAG
rnacentral:ncRNA from 1 species